rnacentral:rRNA from 1 species
GACGAACGCUGGCGGCGCGCCUAACACAUGCAAGUCGAACGGAGUUAAGAGAGCUUGCUUUCUUAACUUAGUGGCGGACGGGUGAGUAACACGUGAGCAACCUGCCUUUCAGAGGGGGGACAACAGUUGGAAACGACUGCUAAUACCGCAUAACGUUGCGAGGAGGCAUCUCCAUGCAACCAAAGAUUUAUCGCUGAAAGAUGGGCUCGCGUCUGAUUAGAUAGUUGGUGAGGUAACGGCCCACCAAGUCGACGAUCAGUAGCCGGACUGAGAGGUUGAACGGCCACAUUGGGACUGAGACACGGACCAGACUCC